rnacentral:rRNA from 1 species
UGCAAGUGUUAUCCGGAAUCACUGGGCGUAAAGCGUCUGUAGGUGGUUAAAUAAGUCAACUGUUAAAUCUUGAGGCUCAACUUCAAAAUCGCAGUCGAAACUGUUUGACUAGAGUAUAGUAGGGGUAAAGGGAAUUUCCAGUGGAGCGGUGAAAUGCGUAGAUAUUGGAAAGAACACCGAUGGCGAAGGCACUUUACUGGGCUAUUACUAACACUGAGAGACGAAAGCUAGGGUAGC